rnacentral:rRNA from 1 species
UACGUAGGGUGCAAGCGUUGUCCGGAAUUAUUGGGCGUAAAGAGCUCGUAGGCGGUCUGUCGCGUCUGCUGUGAAAACCUAGGGCUUAACUCUGGGCGUGCAGUGGAUACGGGGCAGACUGGAGUACUGCAGGGGAGACUGGAAUUCCUGGUGUAGCGGUGGAAUGCGCAGAUAUCAGGAGGAACACCGGUGGCGAAGGCGGCUCACUGGCUCGUAACUGACGCUCAUGCACGACAGCGUGGGGAUCAAACAGG